rnacentral:rRNA from 1 species
GAUGAACGCUGGCGGCGUGCCUAAUACAUGCAAGUCGAGCGAACAGACGAGGAGCUUGCUCCUCUGACGUUAGCGGCGGACGGGUGAGUAACACGUGGAUAACCUACCUAUAAGACUGGGAUAACUUCGGGAAACCGGAGCUAAUACCGGAUAACAUGUUGAACCGCAUGGUUCAACAGUGAAAGACGGUCUUGCUGUCACUUAUAGAUGGAUCCGCGCCGCAUUAGCUAGUUGGUAAGGUAACGGCUUACCAAGGCAACGAUGCGUAGCCGACCUGAGAGCGUGAUCGGCCACACUGGAACUGAGACACGGUCCAGACUCCUACGGGAGGCAGCAGUAGGGAAUCUUCCGCAAUGGGCGAAAGCCUGACGGAGCACCGCCGCGUGAGUGAUGAAGGUCUUCGGAUCGUAAAACUCUGUUAUUAGGGAAGAACAAAUGUGUAAGUAACUAUGCACGUCUUGACGGUACCUAAUCAGAAAGCCACGGCUAACUACGUG